CCGUACCAUUCAAUUUUUCAACCAUCUGGAAGCAUUGGUCAUACACGUUUGAUAACUGCAAUUUGUAUAUUUUCACGACACGUGUUAUUAUUAAAUUAAAAUCCACUACAGUCUGAGAGUGACUCGUUUUGGACGGAUUAUAUUGCUAAUUGUUAUAUUGCCGAGGAUGAUUAUAAAGCGAAUCAAAACGUUCAAGAUUUUGAAAUAAAGAAGACACCAAUAUUAUGAAGAAAGAUUACUAUUAUUAGUGCAAGCUUUGACUUAUACAUGCUUGAACAUAACCGUCACUGGAAACAUAUAGAUAUAACAAAUUAGAUAUAGAAAGUUUCAAAAGUCUUAGACCAUACAUAUGAGUAUGCAAUCAAUAUUACAAAAAUUAAAUGCUUAUAUAAUUCUUAAUAAUGCUUG